GACGAACGCUGGCGGCGUGCUUAACACAUGCAAGUCGAGCGGUGAAGGAGAGCUUGCUCUCCGGAUCAGUGGCGAACGGGUGAGUAACACGUGGGCAACCUGCCCCAGACUUCGGGAUAACGCUUCGAAAGAGGUGCUAAUACCGGAUACGAACUCCUUGGGCAUCCUUGGAGUUGGAAAGUUUUUCGGUCUGGGAUGGGCCCGCGGCCUAUCAGCUUGUUGGUGAGGUAACGGCUCACCAAGGCGACGACGGGUAGCCGGCCUGAGAGGGCGACCGGCCACACUGGGACUGAGACACGGCCCAGACUCCUACGGGAGGCAGCAGUGGGGAAUAUUGCGCAAUGGGCGAAAGCCUGGCGCAGCAACGCCGCGUGAGGGAUGACGGCCUUCGGGUUGUAAACCUCUUUCAGCAGGGAAGAAGCGAAAGUGACGGUACCUGCAGAAGAAGCACCGGCUAACUACGUGCCAGCCGCCGCCGUAAUAC
rnacentral:rRNA from 1 species